UUCACCUCUGACACAACAGCCAGUUGGUUGUCAUGGCACUUGGCCACUGCAGGCUGCCUGCCACCGUCGUGAUUGAAGAUGAUGUUUUCCACCUUCACACCUGCUGUCUGUGACAUUCAGAUGUCUGAGCAAGCAGCGCCUUCCUUACUUGCCAUCGCCACCAGCACAGCACGCAGCUGUGGCACCCUACUAUGGACGUUACAUCUUGAAUCGCUGACAGGGCAUCAGCACUCUUUCAUGGCAUGUAUCCUUCUCCAGCCAGUCAUCUACUGCUGCUCUAAAGACACUUACAGGAUACUGCUGCUUCACUGAUGCCACAGGGCGUAUGAUAGCCAUCCACACCAGUUCCUGAGCUCCGUCUCCUACACCAGAAGUGUCACCACCUCACCUGCAAAACUUCUACACCCACUAAAAAUGCUGACUUGAGGGGUUCCACGAGACUUCAAUGCUUUCCAGGCGACACAAAACCAACUUUUUCUACAGUUCCUACAGCUCUCUUGCCAACACCACAUUGUUCUGGAGCCCGUUCUUGUGUUUUCAAAUAUCGACAGUAGAAGACUUGCUUUCAAAUUCAUGUUUGAAAAGUUAUAAAUGCGGUAAAUAAUCCCCCUCGCCAGAUUGUGAGGUACUUCA